AAUAUUAAUAAUAAUAAUAAUAAAAUCGAUCGAGAGGAUAAACUCGCAAUUAAGAUUCUAAAAUGUGCAAGAAUUAUUGCAAGAACUACUUUACAGCAAGAGUGGUAUGUGGACAAGCAAAAGAGAAUGAUUCCCAACAAGUGGUGAACAAAAUAACUUCCCAUGAAAUAUUAUUGUUCAGAUAUCUCAAAAAUAUACACAUAUACAAGAAUCAUACAUCACAUCUAAGUUAGCCCACCCUAGCUGGAUGAGACCCAUCUCCCUCUCAGCUCUCCAGUGCCUCCUCCCAAGCCAAAUGACAAGUUAACCCAUCAGAGUUCAUCAAAAUAUAUAUCGAAUAGAAGAACACUCACCCUUGCAAUUAAAAUUUUAUAAUACCAUAAUAGAAUUGAAAUGAAUAAGGAAGACGAGUACAGAAUGGACACUCGAUAUAUAUAUUAGCCUGAAGCUGAAACUAAAAGGGACAACUUCAAUUAGUCUACGUACUAUAAUGGUUACACUACACUAUAAAUGACCUGAAAAACAGAAAGCACAUGAAUUUUGACUCUGAAAUUACAAAUGAGAUCUCCAUCAAACACAAACUCCCAACAACAUAUAGUUACUUGAUAAAGAUCAAGGGGAAGAAAAGAAGAAAAUAAAAGGAUUUAUACACACGGUCAAUUGAUCGAUGCCGCCUUAAUUAUGGUUUGAGCCCAGAAUCAUCCCAGGGUAUAUUGAGAUCAGUGGAGACAAAAGUAUCUAUAUCAUCCCAGUUCCAAUAACUUGUCAUGUCCACGCCACAGCUUGCAUUUGGCACUUGCCAUAGCUGAUGAGUGAUAAUGUUGCUUGUGGUAGGGAUGACGGUAGUGAUGGUUGAAUCUUCCAUAGCUUCUCCGCUACUGUAGUUAUAAAGAUUUGAGGGCUGCAAGGAGGUGAAAAUUGAAGAUGGGUGUGUUUCAAAAGUGCUUGAGCUUGAAUAAGGAAAGUGCAACCCUUGAUUUUGGGGAAGAGAAAAAGUUGGACCCAUAAAGACACCAUUGUUCCCAGUGUUGAAAUUUUUGCUGGAAAAGUUGCUGCAGCUCAUAGAAUUCUGUUGAAAAGCUAAAGAGAGUGGGCUAAUCAUUGCUUGACACUUAAUUUCAGAUACGCUUUUCUGAUCACCAAGUGUAAGAGGAUGAUUAUGCUUUUGCUGCUGAGCUUGAAUUACCAUUUGGGGAUCAACCCUGUUAAUGAUAUUGCCAUUAUUGGUACUUGUACUAGUGGCGCUUGUAGUGGCGGCUGCGGAGGCGGCUUUGGAAGUGUUUUUUGACGUUUUCAGCCGCUUGUUUUUGCGGCCACCGCCUACAGGAACAUUGCGGAGAGUGCCACCUUUAGUCCAGUGCCUCUUGCAAGUCUUGCAAAAAUGCCUUGGCUGUGACUUGUUGUAGUUGUUAUAGUAACAAAACUUGGUCUUGGUUGAGUCACAUCUCGGGCACUUCAAGGGCUCUGAUUGCUGCUGGUUUUGUUGCUGUUGCCGCCUUACAAGAGGAGGUUUAGGGAGCUCCAAGGUCUGUGCCUGCUGCAAAAGGGUCUGGCUCCAAUCUAACCCAUCACUAGAAACCUGCUUAGAACUCAAACCCAUCUCUUAAAACACCCUAAAAAUCAAUGCGAACCAGCUAACAGUGAUAAAGAAACAAAUUUGUACACGAUUAGAUAAAGCAGAGAUGAAGAAAUCCUAGCCUUUGGAUCGAGGAGCAAGAAGAGAAAUCGAACAAACAGUAAUACUGUAUAGCUUCAAAGUAAUUUGCGAUACGAUGGUAUGAAUGCAAGGAAAUGGCAAGGUAGGUGAUAAGAAAUGAGCAUUUCACUCUGAGUCUCUAUCUUAAUAUCUGCCCUACCAAGCUAUCUAUACAAGUACUAUGUAUCUGUAAAAGGAAACAGUAAUGAUGAUAAUAGGAAUUUAACAAGAUGAAGGUUAACUCGAAGCAGUGCAUGCAUAUGUGGUCCAAGCAAAAGAGAGGGUUUGAUAAUCGGUGGAAAUUAAUACUUGCAGAGGACAUAAUUUUGGCAACAAUGUUAUAGUACCAUUCCCUUGCCUCUUCACACAAUUUUAUAAAGAAAGAGAUUUACUUAGUCCUUAAGGUGAG
rnacentral:misc_RNA from 1 species